rnacentral:rRNA from 1 species
UACAGAGGGUGCGAGCGUUAAUCGGAAUUACUGGGCGUAAAGCGCGCGUAGGCGGCUUUGCAAGUCGGGUGUGAAAUCCCCAGGCUUAACCUGGGAACUGCAUUCGAGACUGCAUUGCUAGAGUAUGGGGGAGGGAAGUGGAAUUUCCGGUGUAGCGGUGAAAUGCGUAGAUAUCGGAAGGAACAUCAGUGGCGAAAGCACUCUGCUGGGCCGACACUGACACUGAGAGACGAAAGCUAGGGGAGCGAAUGGG